rnacentral:rRNA from 1 species
GCUUACGGCCAUACCACCCUGAACACGCCCGAGCUCGUCUGAUCUUGGAAGCUAAGCAGGGUUGGGGAUUGUUAGUACUUGAAUGGGAGACUGCCUGGGAAUACCAGGUGCUGUAAGGU